UUGGCUUAAACUCAAUGAGUAAGGAAACUAACGCCCUACCUGACAAGUAGGGCUGCCUAUUGGGUCUAGUGAUCCAUGGGUUUCAAUUUAUGACGGAGGUGGAAUGGCCGUCUUUUUAGGAACUCACUACUUUAGGGUGACUAAUUAGGGGGCCGGUCCCCGCC
rnacentral:snRNA from 1 species